rnacentral:rRNA from 1 species
CCUACGGGAGGCAGCAGUGGGGAAUAUUGCGCAAUGGGCGAAAGCCUGACGCAGCGACGCCGCGUGAGGGAUGAAGGUCUUCGGAUCGUAAACCUCUGUCAGCAGGGAAGAACGGUCACUGUGCUAAUCAGCAGUGAAUUGACGGUACCUGCAAAGGAAGCACCGGCUAACUCCGUGCCAGCAGCCGCGGUAAUACGGAGGGUGCGAGCGUUAAUCGGAAUUACUGGGCGUAAAGCGCUCGUAGGCGGUAUGUCAAGUCAAGGGUGAAAUCCCGGGGCUCAACGUGGGAACUGCCUUUGAAACUGGCAGACUGGAGUGUGUGAGAGGAGAGUGGAAUUCCAGGUGUAGGAGUGAAAUCCGUAGAUAUCUGGAGGAACAUCAGUGGCGAAGGCGACUAUCUGGCACAUAACUGACGCUGAGGAGCGAAAGCGUGGGUAGCAAACAGGAUUAGAUACCCUGGUAGUC